UACGAAGGGGGCUAGCGUUGUUCGGAAUCACUGGGCGUAAAGCGCACGUAGGCGGAUCUUUAAGUCAGGGGUGAAAUCCCGAGGCUCAACCUCGGAACUGCCUUUGAUACUGGGGAUCUCGAGUCCGGGAGAGGUGAGUGGAAUUGCGAGUGUAGAGGUGAAAUUCGUAGAUAUUCGCAAGAACACCAGUGGCGAAGGCGGCUCACUGGCCCGGUACUGACGCUGAGGUGCGAAAGCGUGGGGAGCAAACAGG
rnacentral:rRNA from 1 species